rnacentral:rRNA from 1 species
UACGAAGGGGGCUAGCGUUGUUCGGAAUCACUGGGCGUAAAGGGCGCGUAGGCGGCUUUGUAAGUCGGGGGUGAAAGCCUGUGGCUCAACCACAGAAUUGCCUCCGAUACUGCAUGGCUUGAGACCGGAAGAGGUAAGUGGAACUGCGAGUGUAGAGGUGAAAUUCGUAGAUAUUCGCAAGAACACCAGUGGCGAAGGCGGCUUACUGGUCCGGUUCUGACGCUGAGGCGCGAAAGCGUGGGGAGCAAACAGG